AUCAUCUCUUCCUCAAACAUGAAUAAUCAGUCAUUAGAAGAGGAGGAAAGGCUGAGUAGGAGAUAAAUCUGGGCUAAAAUGAGGCUAAUUUGAGAACAAAGAGAAAAGGAGAUCCUGAGGCCAAAAGCAGUGGAGUGUGGCAGUCUUCUGCCUCUCAGAGGACAGCAGGGGCCGAGAUUUCAGUAGACCUCCGGUGCGGGUCCCAUUCCUGCUUGUCGUCACCCCUUCCCAUGUCUCCUGACUGUGUUCAUACCCCCACCCCAUCUCUCAGGACAGAGUCAGUGUGCCAACCUCCUUCCCCUGCCCACUGUCUUGGAAGUCCUGCCCAUCGCCAUUCUGUCUCUGUUCUGGCUUUGCUUCUUCAAGAUAUCUCUAGGAUUGACUCCUUCUCCCUCGCUGAGAAAAACCCUUCACCGCAGUGUUGGGGCUGUCUGCAGUCUCAGAUAGCCUCCCUCUCGCUGCUCCCCGCGCUGCCUGAGACCAUCCUGUCUCCUGUUCCUGCAUCUGUGACCCAGGCUCACCGACAGGCCACUCCAACCCAUUCUCUUAUCUCCUGCUUUGCUUGCACACUGAACAUGCCUGCCGUUGCUACAGAACAUCACCACCCUGCUGCUGGUUAACAUGCUAUUGGUUUCAACCAAAAGCCUUUGCAAAAUUCAAAGACUUUCAUGACCUGUAAUGUAAAUUGCAAAGACCGAACUAGAACAAAGUGAAAGCAAAUUUCUAAGUGCAGGAAUAGUCAUGUGUCGUAGGGCGGCUUCGAGUGAUCCCAUGGAUGUUGGUUUUGUCCUGCAAUCUGUCUGCUGCCACUGGAGGGUGGGCAAAUCUUCCACAGGGAGUUACUCGGGGCCAGGCUCAAGGUGACGGCUCACUAAACACAUGUUAAUUGAUUUAUUGAUUUAUUCAUUCUGUCUUUGACAAACAUUUAUUUACUGCCCUUAGAGAACUCCCAAGUAGAAUUUUACUUCUCUGCCCAAAUGAUACUGAAAUCCAGUGACAGCCCCCAGGCUCCUGAAAGAGGACUUUGACAAAGUAAAGCGGCCUGGGAACAGGUUUGGCUGUCUUUGGCUCACCUUGAGCAGUAGCCAAGCUCAGCACGUUGGGAACGUGCAUGGAAAACGCACUCACUACAUGCUAUUUGUUCAGCAGUAACCUUCCUGAAGCCCAUGUCUGUUGGUGAGAACUCGGCCUGAAAAAGUCAACACAAAGCUUCUGGCUGAUUCUGCAGGAGCACGGGGCCACCGAUGCCCUUAACGCACGCAGGUCCAGAACUCCUGUUGUGGGUUUAGCAAUGGCAUGGCAGGGGAAUCCUGGCUUGGUCUCUCCCCGUCAAGGGCCACAACCAAGGCCUGCGGCUAACUGUAGGGGCUUCCUUGAGCAGGGGAGCUCGUAAGCCCAUUUCUAGGAGUGGCCUCCUCAGCUGCUGCUUUGGGGCUUGUUCUGGCCUCUCUAUCUGGCCGUAGCUCCCUAGGACUCAAGCCAGAAGCCACAUCUGAGUGGACGAGUGGACAAGAGGACUCUGAGGGCCACAGGGUGGCUACCGAGGCUAAGGGACUGGUGGGAAUAUUUACCGGCAACAGAAAUACAAACGUAUCUUCGGUCAGGUAUAAAGACCUAGUCAAUGAUUACAUAUUUUUAUUAUUUACCUGGCAAAAAUUCCCUAAAGAGAGAGAGAGGAGAGAGAGAGAGAGAGAGAAGGCUUGAUGUUUCCCCUGAAUUUUGGCUCUCUUCAGUGUUUUUGUGGCUAUGUGGUACAUCUGAAAUGUCUCGCUUCUGAACUGGGCUCAGAGCAGGGAAAUCAGUUGGGAGACCUAAGCCUCGUAGACCUUGGCCCAUAAGAGGGUCUUGCUAGGGCAGAAAGUUUGGAGCCAGAGGUAGGUUGCAGCCCAACAAGGUAAUUCUCCCAGCCUCCAGGAUGACAAAGGUUGCAUUUACACCUGGUUGGGAGGUUUAAUCAUCUACCAUUUCCAAACACAGCAGGCUAACAACCGGCUGGGCUGAAAAUCAUAAAUUAAAAAAAAAAAAAAAUUACCAAGAAGAGACAGUACAAAGGGAAGGAAGAGGUGGAUCACUGUUUCUGUUCCAGAGGGCCCUGAGUGGGGGGCCCUGGCUGAGGGGCUGUGGGUGGGAGGCCUUGGAAGGGGGUCCUGGAUAGGAGGCCUUGGGUGGGGAACUCUGGGUGGGGGACCUUGGUGAGGGCCCUGGGUGGGGAGUCCUAGGUGGGAGGCCCCGGCUGGGACUCUUGGUGAGGGCUUUGUGUGGAGGCCCCAAGCAAGAGACUUGGACAGGAUUCCCAGCCCAGCUGCCAUAAGCCCCACGGGAAAAUGGCCACCUGUGACCAUGGCUGUGAGAAAAGAAGUCUCCACCAUAAAGAUCUUCCCUUGGGGGCUUGCCGUUGGUUCUUAUCUGUGGCCGCCUUCUUGUUAGAAGAGGCCAAGCUGUCUUUUUGUCACCAGCCCAGGCAGUCUGGCAUAGGGGUGCAGGCUCCCCAGACUGCCUGGGUUCAGAUCUCAGCUCCACCACUCACGUGUGGCUGUGGGCAAACAACCUUGGCUCUAUAAGCUUCAAUUUCCCCGCCUAUAAAAUGUGGAUGGUAACAGUCCCUGCCUCAUAGGGUAUUGUCAGGGUUAAGUGGGAUAAUGUGUUGUUAUUGUUGUUGCUUCGUUGGAAAAAUGCCGUUUGGAGGACCAGUGACCAGCUUUAACUGCAGGUUGAUGGUGUCUGAACUCUAGGUGUGUCAACCCCAUGAUGAUGAAUUUAUAGGUGGGGGAGACUCGGAGGUCCUGGAGUCCACAGGAGAGUAAUUAUGUGUUAAUUUUUCACACGUUGCUUUGAACACACUAAGAGAGAAAGCCAUAGAUCCUCACUGAUGAAUAGGAUCUUCAUAAUAAAGUUUUUAUUGCAGAGGAAAGAUCAAUCUUUUAGGUAAUUAGCAAUAAAUAUUAUCGAAUGCCUGCCAUAUACAUGACACUCUGGACAGCAUAGGGGAUGUGGCAGAAUUGGAUCCAGGCCCUCCUCCCUCAAUAAAUUUGCCAUCUUGAUAGGGGACAAGACAUACAUGUAAAUAGAUAACUAACAACUCAAGAUAACAUAUGUCAAAUACCAAAUGGGUUGUAUUGUAGCACAAAUGUAUUUGUGUCUUAUCUUCUACUCGCUCUAUGAAGACAGAAUCCACAUCUGUCUUGCUCACCAUGCUACUCCCUCUGCCUGCAUCUGCAUUAUGGCUAAGACUUACUGAACAUUCACUACUCCCCAGGCAACAUUCUAAGCCCUUUCUGGCUACUAACUCCUUUAAGGUUAUAAUACAGGCUGUCGUGGAAAUGUUAUCAACCACCCCGUUUUCAAGAUGAGGACAGUGAGACACAGAGAAAUUUAAAAAUUUGCUCAAAUUUACACAAGUCCACUCAUUGCCCAUAUGCAACGUCAGGCACACAUUCUCCCUGUGCCUAGUGCUGUGCCUGGCGCAGGCAGUGGGAAAAUGCAUUCACGAGGGGCCCACCAGUGUUCCAGACACUGCACCGGGCACCUUCAUAGACCGCCUUGCUUCAUCUUCACAAAACUCCAUUGAGAAGGGUAUGCGAUUUCAUGUUAAGGAGGAAGGGGCUCAGAGAGGCCGAGGACACACCCAAGUCACUGGCUGGCAAGGGGUGCUGCCCGAAUGUAUUCCUACACGAAUGACCUGACCUGGACUGGGACAAAUGUUUGGAGUUCAGAGGACUAGAUGGUGAAGGAAGUUUUCUUCAAGAUGGAGUGUGUCUGUUAGAUUCUGAAGAAGGAGCCAGAUAUAGAUAAGCAGAGAAUGUGAGAGAGAGCUGGAAAUGGUCAGAAGGCUGCACAGAAGGUCCGUGGCUUGUACCAGAGGAUGGCUGGCAUGAGUGAUAUGUGUAAGCAGGAAGUGACAGGGACAGUGAGAAAGGUAGAUCAGGGACAGAUUAUAAAUGGCCUUGCGUACUAAACAAAGGAGGGGACACUCUGAAAGAAUAGACUCCACAGAAGUAAGCUGGGCACGUCUUGAGUGCUUAAUCUUUCUGGAUCUCUAGCUGGGACCAAACAUUUGGUAAGACUGGCAUGGCCUUUAAUUUCUUCAAGCUACAGUUGUAUUGAAUUACAAACGUGUUUAAUCAAGGCCACUGGAAAAUUACACAAAAUGUUUGCUUCCUGUGGCAUGAGAAAAUUUAAAAGGCUUGCAGAAAAAUGCCAGUGUUCCUCUCUCCCUCCCUCUCUUCCUUCUGUACUUUUGGGUUAAUGGGCACUCUGAAACGGGGCUGGCUUAUCACUGAGGGAAUGGAGCAAGCAAUGAAUCCCAAGGUGUGGACUUGUAACAGGAGUUCAUGCUGCUAGCAACCGCUCAUUUCAGUUCCAGCUUCCCUGGGGUUCCGGACCUGGUUCUAGGGAGUUUUGCCGUAAGCAUCUUUGCCACAAAUGUUUUCGCCAUAUAACGAAUUGGCUGUAAUGCAACUUUGCCAUAAAAGAUAGAAAAAAAACCGGUUAACCGUUUGGUUUGACAGUUUGUUGGUUUCAUCAACUGGCUGACGGUUGGGUGUCAUCUCUCCAUUGACACAACACUCCCACUUUUAUAUAAAUCUUAGCCACCGUCAUGAUCUAUACCGUGGCAGAGAGUUUUGAAUGCACAUUUCCCAUCGAACUUUGCAAUCAUUAAUGAACAUGUGACAAUAUGCCAAUAACAAACGAUAGUGUAGAAGGCUUUCACAACGCCAUACAAAGCUCAGUUACAAAUAAGCAUCCUGAUAUUGGAAACUGAUACUUCCCUUGUUGAGGGAAGAAAUUUUAUUUAUUUAUUUAUUUAUUUAUUUAUUUAUUUAUUUAUUUUUAUUUUAUUUUUUAUUUUUAGAGAGAGAGAGAGAGCACAUGCGAGCCAGGGAGAGGGGCAGAGGGGGAGAGAGAGAGAGAGAGAAAGAGAGAGAAAUUGAGAAUCUUAUGCAGGCUCCACAUUCAGUGCUGAGCCUGAUGUGGGGCUCCAUUCCACGACCGUGAGAUCACGACACAAGCUGAAAUCAAGAGUCCAAUGCUCAACCAACUGAGCCACCCAGAUGCUCCAUGAGGGAAGAAAUUUUAGUGAAAAAAAAAAAAAGAGAGGGAAAGAUGCCCAAUGAAGAGAGAAAUCAGCAAGCAAAAAAUGUGUAACACUAUGAAUGAAUGAAAGACGUUGAAGACCGUGCUUAGGUACAAUCCACAAAAUAAAAUCGGUUAUUUGAGAAGUAUUACCAUGAAUUUACACACAUUUUAAGUGCAUUAAAAUAUUUUGUAUUUUGCAGUAAAGUCUUUUUGCUUUUGUUAUUCAUUUUUCAUGUUCCAUUAUGCCCAUUUUGAUGAAUAUCCCUCUUUUAUUUUUCGUGAUUUUAUCUCUUACGGCAAAACUGCCUCAUAGCCAAUUAGUUAGGUGGCAAAAAUGUUUGGUGUGAAAAUGCUUGUGGCAAAGAUGUUCACAGUGAAAAUACUGGAUGCGCCCGGGGCCCAUAGCAGUCUGCCCCUCUGGCACUAGUUUGGGCUUCCAACUGUGGGUGUGACCUUUGCCACAGCUCCUUGCCACUCUGUUUGUUUUUCCACCCGUGGAACAGAGGAUCCUAGUGGUUCUGUUCCCUUUGCUCACACGAGCAUGGUGAUGAAUAAGGCAGUGUUUGCUGAGGCCAAUGGGAACCUGGGCAUCGCACAAGCACCUCAAUUACGUCUCUGGGUAGGACCCAGAUGGUGGAGGUGUUUCUCUAUUUGCUCUGUUAUAAAGGCAGAAUCUCAUCCGACGCCCAGACCCCUCUUUGUCUCUUCCAGUGAAGCCAGGGUUGGGGAUGGACAUGGGUGGAAGAUGGUGGUAUGACAGAUGAAGUAAAGGCACCAGGACCGUUUCUUGCUUUUUGUUAGCAUUUCUUAUUUGGUUUGCUGUGCUUUCUGGACAUUUGGAGAGUGUAAACAAUUUAGGUAAAUCGGGUAUCUCACAAUCCAAUAUGGAAAGUGUAUAAACUUUGCCGACAUUAAACGUUGGAAGGGUGAAGACGCUGUAUUUAGUUCCCUCCUUUGGUAUAUAACACUUUGUGUUUCUUUUUCAUUCAUUCUGGGAAAACACUUUUUUUAAAGGAGAAAAGACAAAAAUAGCUCCUUAAACUACCAAAAAGUAUUUAUUAACAGGUUCUUUGUAGGAUCUUCUCUUAUUUGCUCGAAGGCUCAGAAAAGUAAAAUCUGAAGUGUACCCCGUGUUAACCAUGGUUCCUAUAGGACUUGGAACGGACAGGCAGACUCCUCUGGAAAUACUUCACGCAUUUUCCAAAUGGAUACUUGAAAACCUCUGCUGGGGCAAGCCAGCCUUCUUGUUUUCCUGUCCCCUAUCAAGAUUCAAACUAAGUUGGCCACCCACUGAUAUGAAUCUGUAAAUAGACUAAAUCCUCCCUUUGAACACACUGGUCCCUAACUUGCUAUCUUACGAAAAUGUUUGGGAGAUGACAACAUCACAGGGCUUGGCAGAGACUAGCAUGUCUGUCCUUUGCUAAGGAGACCUGGAAGGCUGUGGGUCUCUUGGAGAUGACGGGGGUGUCAGGGAACUGACCACAAGACGUGCCUGCACAGAAUCUAGGCUCCUUGACCCAUUCCUAUCGCUGUAUGUGUGUGUAUUGUUUGUGUCAUAGGUGGUAUGUGUUGUGUGUUUGGUGUGUGUCUGUGUUGUGUGCAUGGCAUGUGUGUUGUGUGUGUGUGUUGUGUUGUGUAUAUGGUUAUGUGUGCUGUGUAUGUGGUACGUGUCUUGUGCAUAUGGUAUGCGGUGUGUGUGUGUGCGAGUGUGUGUGUGCGUGUGUUGGGAGUGGAGGAUGCCGGUUCUGCAGAGAUCUAUAUUUCGUGUUAGCUUUGUGCCUUGUGGUGGGAGGGAGAAAUUUAGAGAACAGAGCUCAAAAAUUUUUUUAAAUGAGCUAUGAUUGAUACAUAUUAGUUUCAUGUGUACCACAUGAUGAUUUGAUAUUUGUACAUAUUGCAAAAUGAUCAUCACAGUAAGUCUAGCUAAUAUCCAUCACCCCACAAUGACAAAAAUUUCUUUUUUCUUGUGAUGAGAAUUUAAAGAUCUACUCUUUCGGCAACUUUCAAAUAUAGAAUACAGUGUUGGUACCUAGAGUCAUAGUGCUGGACAUUACAUCCUCGUGACUGAUUUUUUAAUAUUAUUUUUAACUGCCACAUUACUAAAGCCCGAUUUUUCAUUCUGCUCCAUUCCCGUAGCUUCCAGUGUUGUAUAUUUUCUCUUGUUUCUUCAUUUCACUGUUUUCUUUAAAUAAAUCCUUUCUGCUCCCACCUCCUUUAAUUUUUCUCCCACUAUCCCCUUGUUGUCUGUUUCCUAAUUUUGAUUUUUCCCUAUUUCUCCUAAGUCUACUAAACUUCCUCCCUCCUAUUUCUUUCUUGCUCCUCUCCCUGGGAGCUGUAUGUCAGAGAACUUGAACUUGACCCACAGCACAGCCAGAAGCAUCGGUUAUACUCUAUAUCAAGUUUCUUUAAAAUAAAGCCUGCCAGCACGAGAGCCUUAUGGAGUUCGCUAUGGCACAAGUACACAAGCCUCUGCCUUUGUUCUGAAUUCUGAAUCCACAUUGUGACUUUAAUUGCUGCAUCAAACGGAGGUGGCUGUCUUUCUAGUUGAUGGUGGGUUGCUAGGAGCAAAAGAACAAAAGUGUGACAAGGAGUUGGUGAGGAGUUUGAGCUGGAGAAAUAAAUGAGCUGCUUGUUGUCUUUCUUCCACA
rnacentral:lncRNA from 1 species